AUGAUCCAUGAAGGCUUAAACUUAAACCUAAACCUAAUCCUAAUAUCGCAUCCCUCUUUCCGCCUCCUUCCUCUUUCUCUAUUAUCACUUUUCCGUGUUUUGACUCUUUUCCUCUCUGCUAAUACAAUUCACAGUAAGACUACCCUUUAUCUCUCUCUCUCUCUCUCUCACAAUAUCCACCACCAGUUCGCCAUCUCUCCCGCUCUAUAUGGUAGCCAUAUUUUGAUGGUAGAGAUCCAAUUUGGUACUCGUUGUAUCGAUACGGAGAAGUUGGUGUGAAAGUGGGAGAAACCGCAAGUUUUGCUUCUUAACGAAAUAGGAAGAAAAAAGAAGAUGGCCAUUUAAUGAUACUUUUGAAAGCAAGCAUCAUGGUUUAUGGAUUUGGAGAUGCCAGAAGACAAUGGGUUAUCAAUUAGUACAAAGGCAAGGUAUGAAGGCAUCAAGCGAUUUGUUCAGCUGUGCAUCUUUCAUGUGAUGCUUUGAUGAGGCUGUUGUUGCGACCUAGCAUUGCUCAAUCAUCUGAAGGGAUGUCUAUUGCUUUGCACAGCACUGUGGUUUUUAAGGGUUUUACCCAGCAUCAUUCUGGUCCGUUGGCACAUGCCUUCUGUGUCUCUCUCAGGGAAAAUUUGAAGAAAGCUGUAGCAGGAUUUGAUUCGGCUUCUGCUUCAUUUUUGCUGGCUCCGAAAUCGACACCUAAUAAAGCGAUUUUUUCUUGCCUAUUUAUUGUGGAGUUCCUUCUCUUUCUUGCUGCAUCUAGAGAUAACCUUUGGGUAGCUGCUUUACAUAUGGAAUUUGGUAAUGGUAGCAAGGAUGUCCUUGAAGAUAUCACAGCGAGAGAUGCUGCAUCAUGGCCUGGAUAUUAAUGUUUUAUUUUGCGUCAAUUGUAUUUUUUUUUUUUUGUUGGGUUUCUAUUUUUAUGUUUCCUUUUUUUAAACAUUGUAUUUUCAGAUUGUUUGUAUAGCCAAUGGCACUAAAAUAUUCUAAUAUUAGAUUUAAUAAAAUUUAAAUUCUUUUGUUCUUAA